rnacentral:sRNA from 1 species
CGGAAGUUUAGCGAACCACCCUCAACUUCCGGAAGAGCGCAGAAGUUUGCCAGAAAACCGCCGGAAACGGACAGAAAGGAGUCCCUGCGACCGCGUAGCCUCCUGCAGCGCCCCCUGUUGGCAGAGUCGUAGUGAGGCCGAGAUGAGGUCCGCGACGUGGCUGCGUGAGCAUCGCGGCUGCCUGUGGAUGGGUGGGCGUGGGGCUGAGAGGAGACGACAGUGGGGAGCUUCCUCAGCGAUCCUGGGCUUCUCGGGUCAGGCCGACUUCAGUCCGGGCUGGAGGCCAUGCACAACACCAAGCGCAUGGCGGGGUCCUCAGCUGCCUCGGGACUGGCUCCGCCUCUGCUCCUGGUCCUGGGAUGGGGGCCAAAGGUUUUGGGCAGUGGCAGCAGCAGGAGGAAGUAGCACCCGGAAAACCUGUCUCCUGAGUCGACCCUUCCUGUCUGGGGGGCUGAACCCUGGCUGUCUUUGUUCCCAUAGCAACGAAUAGGGCUCCCCUAGGUUCCAGCCCCUUAGAUACGGUGUGCCCCAGGAGGGCUCUGAAGGAGCUACAGGUCCUUGUGGUGCGAAGGGAGGCGGGAGGUGGGCUGGGGCAGCCUGGCUGGCCUGUGUGGAGACAUCACACUUCCUGGUUGGGGACAGGGUGAAGAGGGUUGGUCCCCACCUCUGCCUUGAGCAGAGCUUCCAGUGGGUGAAGCAGUGGGGGUCUCCUGCCUGCGGGAAGGAUGGGUGGGGCUUCCACAUCGCAGCCCAGUAGGGUGGACUGACCGGUCUUCUGACCUCUGGCUCCUUGGAGGGGCUUGAGGUGGGCCCUGGCAUCCCCAGCCUCCUCUAAACCACCUCCCUGGAACAUGCGGGACGGGAGCCCAAGCGGCAUCUGAGGAGGGCGGGUUUUGCCAGGCACAGAGGGCUCCAGCGUGAUUGCCACUGUUUAAUGACCUGCCACCCCCGCCCCCGCAACCUCUGGUGCCGUCCAAGGACUCUGACCCCAGUGCAGUGUCUGUAGGGAAGAGGAGCCAUGGGGCUUCGGGCAGGCCCCAUCCUGCUUCUGCUGCUGUGGCUGCUGCCAGGUGAGGGAUGCGCCUCUGUCUUCUCCUCCCUCCCACCCCCUGCCAGCCUGUGUGCUCCCCUUUGCUCUCUUGCUUUCCAGGGGCCCAUGGGGAUGUGCUGCCUUCAGGUACCGUGGACAUCUCAUCCCUGCACUCAACCAGCCCCUACUCCUGGCCAGGGAGGACUGGCCCCAGGGGACAUGCAGAGGCCCUUGGCCCUGGGAGCCUCAUCCCUGGACAUCAAGGGCAGAGGGAUGUCAGGAGGUGUUAGGGUAAAGAGUGAGACCGGGAGGAAGGGGCUUUCUGAGAGGGAAGAAAGCUGAGGUCUGCCACCCGCCCAUCCCUCUGCAGAAUGCGGCCACUCCAAGGAGGCUGGGAGGAUUGUGGGAGGCCAAGACACCCAGGAAGGAUGCUGGCCAUGGCAGGUUGGCCUGUGGUUGACCUCAGUGGGGCACGUAUGUGGGGGCUCCCUCAUCCACCCACGCUGGGUGCUCACGGCCGCCCACUGCUUCCUGAGGUGAGUGGCGCUGGGUGGGGGUGUUCCUCACCCCUCCCCUCGGCGGCUGCCUGCAGUGGGCCGUGUUUCCGUUCCGCUCCCAGGUCUAAGGAUCCCAGGCUCUACCAUGUUAAAGUCGGAGGGCUGACACCCUCCCUUUCAGAGCCCCACUCGGCCUUGGUGGCUGUGAGGAGGCUCCUGGUCCACUCCUCAUACCAUGGGACCACCACCAGCGGGGACAUUGCCCUGAUGGAGCUGGACUCCCCCUUGCAGGCCUCCCAGUUCAGCCCCAUCUGCCUCCCAGGACCUCAGACCCCCCUCGCCAUUGGGACCGUGUGCUGGGUAACGGGCUGGGGGUCCACCCAGGAGAGAGGUAAGAGGAAUAUGCACUCACCAGCCCCUACUCCUAGUCAGGGAGGACCCGCCCAGGGACCACGCGGAGCCAGCCUGAGUGGUCUCCACAGACCUUGGUCCACGUGUUUAUCUUCUCUCCCCUCCCACCCCACCCUGAAGCUGGGAACACUUGGGGCCAGGACCCAUGCUGUCCAGACUGUGGGACUCCCCUUGGCCAAGGCGACCACCAUAUUGAAUUUUGGGGAUCUUGAGCCAGUGUCCAGGAUUGUGCCCGUGUUGGGAUGAAUAAGCCAAGGCUAAGAGGUCAUGAGAUUAGCCAGGGUCAUGGGACAGGAUCUGGGCUUGAGCCCUGCUCCCUGACCCCACUGCCUCCUGGUUUGGGAGUUGAGAAGAGCAGGGUGGGUAGGCAGAGAAGAGGUAGGAGGUGCAGGCUGCUACCAUCACAGGUGAGAGGGAGGAGGCUCACCAGAUGGGGACGAGGCUUGAGGUGGGCUCAGGCUGGCCCCCCCAUCACAUCCAGCCCUGGCGAGUGUCCUUCAGGAGGUGGCUGUGCCCCUCCUGGACUCGAACAUGUGUGAGCUGAUGUACCACCUAGGAGAGCCCAGCCUGGCUGGCCAGCGCCUCAUCCAGGACGACAUGCUCUGUGCUGGCUCUGUCCAGGGCAAGAAAGACUCCUGCCAGGGUGACUCCGGGGGGCCGCUGGUCUGCCCCAUCAAUGAUACGUGGAUCCAGGCCGGCAUUGUGAGCUGGGGAUUCGGCUGUGCCCGGCCUUUCCGGCCUGGUGUCUACACCCAGGUGCUAAGCUACACAGACUGGAUUCAGAGAACCCUGGCUGAAUCUCACUCAGGCAUGUCCGGGGACCGCCCAGGUGCCCCCGGGUCCCACUCAGGCACCUCCAGAUCCCACCUAGUGCUGCCGCUUGAGCUGUUGACCGUAUGCUUGCUUGGGUCCCUGUGAACCAUGAGCCAUGGAGUCUGGGAUCCCCCUUCUGGUAGGAUUGAUGGAAUGUAAUAAUAAAAACUGUAAGUUUUUUUAACGUGUAUUUUA